GACGAACGCUGGCGGCGUGCUUAACACAUGCAAGUCGAACGGGCCCGCCCCUGUUUUUGGGGGUGGGUUGAGUGGCGAACGGGUGAGUAUCACGUGAGUAACCUGCCCCCUGCUCCUGGAUAACUGCUUGAAAGGGCGGCUAAUACGGGGUGUGCCGGCUGGUCCGCAUGGGCCUGGUCGGGAUAGUUUCAUCUUCGGGUGUUUCGGUGGGGGAUGGGCUCGCGGCCUAUCAGCUUGUUGGUGGGGUGAUGGCCCACCAAGGCGGUGACGGGUAGCCGGCCUGAGAGGGUGGGCGGCCACACUGGGACUGAGACACGGCCCAGACGCCUGCGGGAGGCAGCAGUGGGGGGUAUUGCGCAAUGGGCGGAAGCCUGAUGCAGCGACGUCGCGUGAGGGAUGGAGGCCUUCGGGUUGUGAACCUCUUUCUCCGGUGGUGAAGGCCCUGUCCGUUGCGGCGGGGUUGACGGUAGCCGGGUAUGAAGCGCCGGCUAACUACGUG
rnacentral:rRNA from 1 species